GAGAAAGCUACCUCAUUCCACCCCGGGCUCAGGACCUUCUGCCUAGUAACCCAGCUCUGGCCCCCGGGAAUUCCUAAGCAGCGGGCCUCAUCCUCCUGCCAGGGCUUCUACGCCUACCCAGCUAUAGGGCAUCCCAGUCCCUGAUGCUGGGCGGGGGACAAGGGGGCGAGAGCCGGAGUGCUCACCUCCUCAACCCCUUAAAGGGUGGGGCAGUGCCAGUCACGACACCCCAACUCAGCCUGGGCCAGGGCUGUGUUGAAACAAGAGGCUAACCACGCUGCUGCCGCCCAGAGUGGCAGCGAAAAAUGCAGCAGUGGGGCUAGUGCACCUGGAGGCCAGAGUAGGGAAGGGGGACCGGGACCGGGAGGGGCCGAAGAGGUAGGGAAAGAGAGGAGCCACCAGAAAGGUCCAAGGGACAGCUGGGCUGUGGGGAGGAGGGAGAAGGGAGGGCUGGGAAUGAGGGGCCACCUGCUCCUGGGAACUCGGAGGCAAUGGGGGCAUCCCUCAGAAGCAGGCAAGAUGGAUGGGGAGGACAGAGCGAGCGCAAAUCAGGCAGGGCUGGUACCUGGGCCAAGCAAAGGUGCGUGCUUCCAAGGGGACUAGCCUAGGCUCUUCAUCUCCCUACCAGUGCCCGGCGUGAUUCUGCCUGGGAAGACAGUGGGCACACUGGGGUGUGGAUUCUGCCAUUCCACCCCCACCAAGGCGACUUCUGGACAGACUUGCAUCAGGAGAUGGGGCCCUGACCCACAGACAGCACAAUCAUGGACAAGUUGCUUCACCUCGCCAAGUCUCAGUUCUUCCAUCUGUAAAAUGGCUAUAACCCCGACCUGACAGGCUUGACAGGAGGAUUUAAGGAAAUCAUCUAUUUAAAAUGCCCAACACGAGGUCAGACAAACAAUCAAUGUUUCUUUAUAAAUUUAUUUAUUUUUGCCUGC